rnacentral:rRNA from 1 species
UACGAAGGGGGCGAGCGUUGUUCGGAAUUACUGGGCGUAAAGGGCGCGCAGGCGGCCUCAGGAGUCAGAUGUGAAAUCCCCGGGCUCAACCUGGGAAUGGCAUUCGGGACUGCAAGGCUGGAGUGCGGCAGAGGAGACUGGAAUUCCUGGUGUAGCAGUGAAAUGCGUAGAUAUCAGGAGGAAUACCGAUGGCGAAGGCAGGUCUCUGGGCUGACACUGACGCUCAUGCACGAAAGCGUGGGGAGCAAACAGG